UAUCCUUUUGUUAAUUGGUGGCGAUAUAGCGAUGUUUCAAUUAGUGAUUGGGUUUAACCUUGAGAUUUGCCUAACUAAGAGAUUCUUAAAUCAAUAUUGUAUUUUUUGCGAGAUUUCUUUGUCAUUUGGGAGUUGGGUUAUCGCCAGACAACCUACAUUGGGCGGAUAUUGACUCAGAAUAAGUUUUCCUAGUUUCCUAUAUUUUUCAGUUUUAUGAAAUUCUCAUCUUUUUUUAUUUCCUUUCGUUUAUAUGGAGAUGUACAUUGCAAUUGUAUUAUGAAUUUACAGGAUUAGGGUGGUUGAUUUGAGUCAGACACGGCUAUUUGGUGGUCUAUCUCUUUGGGAGGUUUUCAUCUCUAUAAAAAUUCAGAAGAUCAGGGAGGUUGAUUUUAGUUGGAGGUGGCUACUCGUAUGUAUAUGUCAUAAGGGCUUUUUUAUGCUCAUGAAUAUCCGACUGUAUGUUUACAAACAUGAAGAUCAUUGGCGAGAGUUAUGUGAGAUUUACUUGCGUUGUCAUUGCUUGUUGGGUGGCGGUGUGACAUUGAUAGAAAGAAUGUUGAGGUUGGGCGAAGGUUUUUAGAUUUUGUUAGUCCACCUUCAUUUUGUAAAUUAAAGUGGAUCUAGUGAUCUUUAAAUCAGUUUUAA